rnacentral:rRNA from 1 species
AUUGAACGCUGGCGGCAGGCCUAACACAUGCAAGUCGAGCGGAUGAAGGGAGCUUGCUCCUGGAUUCAGCGGCGGACGGGUGAGUAAUGCCUAGGAAUCUGCCUGGUAGUGGGGGAUAAGUCCUGGAAACGGCCCUUAUUACCCCUACCUUCUUGGGGGGGAAGGGGGGGGACUUUUGGCCUCAUCCCAAUAGAUGGGCCUAGGUCGGAGUAGCUAGUUGGGUGGGUAAAAGCCUACCAAGGCGACGAUCCGUAACUGGUCUGAGAGGAUGAUCAGUCACACUGGAACUGAGACACGGUCCAGACUCCUACGGGAGGCAGCAGUGGGGAAUAUUGGACAAUGGGCGAAAGCCUGAUCCAGCCAUGCCGCGUGUGUGAAGAAGGUCUUCGGAUUGUAAAGCACUUUAAGUUGGGAGGAAGGGCAGUAAGUUAAUACCUUGCUGUUUUGACGUUACCAACAGAAUAAGCACCGGCUAACUUCGUG